rnacentral:rRNA from 1 species
GACGAACGCGGGCGGCGUGCUUAACACAUGCAAGUCGAACGAUGAAGCCUAGCUUGCUAGGUGGAUUAGUGGCGAACGGGUGAGUAAUACGUGAGUGACCUACCUUUGACUCUGGGAUAAGCCUGGGAAACUGGGUCUAAUACCGGAUACGACCAAUCUCCGCAUGGGGUGUUGGUGGAAAGCGUUAUGGAGUGGUUUUAGAUGGGCUCACGGUCUAUCAGCUUGUUGGUGAGGUAAUGGCUUACCAAGGCGACGACGGGUAGCCGGCCUGAGAGGGUGACCGGCCACACUGGGACUGAGACACGGCCCAGACUCCUACGGGAGGCAGCAGUGGGGAAUAUUGCACAAUGGGCGCAAGCCUGAUGCAGCGACGCCGCGUGAGGGAUGACGGCCUUCGGGUUGUAAACCUCUGUUAGCAUCGAAGAAGCGAAAGUGACG